CUCAGAUGUCAAGACUAUUUUGAGAUUUCUAAGCCAGUCUUUAAAAUUUAUGCCAAUCAAAUGGUUGGUUUCAAAGACACGGGCUAGAGGGUUAGAGGUCGAUAUUGUUCAUCUACGAGAGUAGACAUUUUAGUUAGAUAUUUAUACUUAAAUUUAUAUUUGCUUUAAAAAUUUUUAGAUGCAAAUAGACUCCCAUUAUUAUUUUGGAUUUCGAUACUCUCUAGAUGAAAAACAAAAAUCCGACACGACCAA
rnacentral:lncRNA from 1 species